AGCAGGGAGCAUGGAAGCACUGUGGGACGCGCUGUGGCACGCAUUUUGGAACGGGCUGUGAUACGUUCUGUGGGAUGCACACUGCGAGACAAGCUGUGGGAGGCACUGCCUGCCAUCAGACAGGCUUCUGUUGGCUGCAUGCAAACACGCAAGAGUUGCAAAGAAGGUGAAGCAGCAGAACAAAGGAAAGGAAGUGCUCUCGUGAUGAUGAACCUUUACGGCCGGACUAUUCCGCUCCGGUUCGGGAGACACAGAUUCAGUAGGUCUUCGUCUCUUAUUGCGGCAGCAAGAGCACAGAAAAGGAUGAGCAACUCGAAUGAGACAGUCGAGCCGAGAAGCGCAGAACCACUGCCUUAGAGCACCGGUCUCCAGCGCCAGUCCUCGAGGCCUGCGGUGUCCAAAGCUUUCUCGGCUCUCCUUCAAUCAAAGAGCUGACGAGCAGCGCUGAAUCAGUCCGAUGAGGCCGAUUAAUGUAAAUUCACUCAAGAAUGCUUCUGCUCUUAACUGAAAUGAAACGCUCUAGGCUGCAGCGCUGCUGGACCCUGAGCACAGGAAGCGCACGGUGUGGUCCGCGCUCUGCCGUAUGGAUGUGUGGCAGCUGUGGGCCCUGAGUGGAAGCUGGCUGUGACAUCUGGCCCCGGGCUGGGCCACGACACUCACCGUGGCCUCCGACGUGGACCGCUGCUGUGCGAGGAGUGUCCUCGGAAGCGUCCGGCCCUCGCAGCGCUCUUGCAGGCGGAGCUUCUCAAACAGGACCUAAGCACAGGUAUCACCGCAAUCAGAGUCUGGCUACACCCAGACCUGUAACCCAUGACUCCACACUCAGCAUGAGGCUACAUGCGGAGCUGAAUCUGGAGCAAAAGAGGAGCAGGUGAGCUGCCAAACAGCAAGACAGUGCAAUGGAGCUGCAGCUGAGGGCCUGGAGGUAACGGAUCAGUCCUCCGCUGUGUGACAACGGGGGACCGAUCACUCGCAACUGGGCACUGCUGGACACCAGGAACCGCUGCCCUGCCGCCUCAUGGGCUUCCUGUUCCUGCUGCUUCAGUCUGGUCUGCAAACAAGAGAACCAUAUCAAGAAAAUAUCUUCGAAUCAGAAGGAGUAGAACAGCACCAAAAGCCAAGGAAGUAUGGUGUUUGAUGCAGCUGGAACUGGUGAGCUGGACCAGCGUUGCUCAUAUUUACAGGCUACAGGGUCCACAUGCUGAGAAGGAUGCACUACACUUCCUUUUGUGACACAAGAGUCUACAAGGCCAGCUGGCACAUGUGAGUUGGGAGAUUCCCCCCCCAUGUCCUCGAUCUCCCAGCAGUAGGACAUGUCUAUUACCCCCAUGCAUUAUAUGGGCAUUUUAAGCAGAUGCUCAACCCACCUUAACUGGCUCUUCUCGAUCUAGAAGUCAGGGACUCUAUUCCAAGCGGCCUACCUAACUGCCGAGUCUCCACUUGGCGUAUAAAUCCCACAACCCGCUGGAGUAACCGCCUCUUACCUUUAAUCUUGGUCUUUCAGUCAGUACCCAAAGUUUUAGACCAUAGAUGACGAUAGGACUGCAGACUGAGAGAUAAAUUGCAAGGUCUCUCCAAGAAUUCAUCUCCUGCUUCACCACUACAGUUCGAUACAACGUCUGCGAUACUGAAGCUACUGCACUAAGCCAGUGGUCAACUUGGCCAUUCCGCCUGCUCUGUCCCUCAUCUGGAACUGACCCUUUCUACACCAUGUCAAAUUUGGAUAUAGGGUGCUGUAGUAAGGUACAUUACUCACACAGGUGCCACCCCCUUACAUCAGCCGCUACUGGUCAUCUUACACUACAUCUGAUAAUAUGACCUACAGUGCAUAUUUACGCAAGUAUUGCACUUGUUUGUGCAUCGCUCGUGUUUGCACUGCUCAUAUAGUUUGUCUUCUUAUUUAUUGCUUUGUAUAUUGCUAUCACUCUGUGUAUUUUUAUGUUUGGCAACAAACCAUAACCAAUUUCUGUAUGUUUACAAAGUGUCUAAAGAGUUCUGAGUUCCGUGAUUCCAAACAUACCUGUAAACUACUUUGUGCUUCAACAUGGUGUUGUUCGUUAUAGGAGACGCACUUGGCAACUGGUUGAUGCACACAGCCAUAAGGUGAGGUAUAGGGGCCAGGCGCAAUGCCUGCUGGGUGACGGACAAAGACGGAACAGUUCUGUACAGUUUAGAACAACACAAUUGAAAACUACAGAUGCCAACACAAAGAGGGUGUGGUGGCACAGCAGGUUUGGCCUGUGCCUGCUCUCUGGUGGGUCUGGGGUUUG